rnacentral:rRNA from 1 species
UACGGGGGGAGCAAGCGUUGUUCGGAUUUACUGGGCGUAAAGGGCGCGUAGGCGGUCAGCACAAGUCAGUUGUGAAAUCUCCGGGCUUAACUCGGAACGGCCAGGUGAAACUGUCAAGCUAGAGUGCAGAAGGGGCAAUCGGAAUUCUUGGUGUAGCGGUGAAAUGCGUAGAUAUCAAGAGGAACACCUGAGGUGAAGACGGGUUGCUGGGCUGACACUGACGCUGAGGCGCGAAAGCCAGGGGAGCAAACGGG